rnacentral:rRNA from 1 species
UGGGGAAUAUUGGGCAAUGGAGGCAACUCUGACCCAGCAACGCCGCGUGAGCGAUGAAGGUCUUCGGAUUGUAAAGCUCUUUAAGUGGGGACGAAGAAAGUGACUGUACCCACAGAAUAAGCCUCGGCUAACUACGUGCCAGCAGCCGCGGUAAUACGUAGGAGGCAAGCGUUAUCCGGAAUGACUGGGCGUAAAGGGUGCGUAGGUGGUCUGGUAAGUUGGUAGCGUAAUCCCGGGGCUCAACUUCGGUGCUACUACCAAAACUGCUGGACUUGAGUGCAGGAGGGGCAUAUGGAAUUCCUAGUGUAGCGGUGGAAUGCGUAGAUAUUAGGAGGAACACCAGUGGCGAAGGCGAUAUGCUGGACUGUAACUGACACUGAGGCACGAAAGCGUGGGGAGCAAACA